AAGUGUCUAAACAGAGUUUAUUCCAUGACGGUAUGAUCGGCGGUUGUGAUGUCUUUUACCAUGCCCGCGGUGGCUUGUACCAAAUGUUACCGGGUCGAAUCCUCUAAGUCUCUCGGACUCAAGUGGAUCGAUUACACACUCAGAAGGUGGAACCUGGUAUCGAGUUGUAUCAUAACAAUAGGAGUACUGCAUGUAUUUUUUCCUCAGGUUCUGCAUUUUAGUUCUACUUUCUUUUGUUGUACCUGUAGGAACAGAUUGAGACUUGGGCGCAGUAUCACAUGAGGUCGACAUCUCGAUGGGAUCAACGGCACAANUGUGAAGGAAUGCUCUAUUCCUUGUCAUAUCUAUUUCCUACCAAAAUUUUAUAUCAUAUAAAUUUUGUAUUAAUUCUGUUUUUUCAAAAUCAUUUAUCCUCUACUCUAUUAGCUUCUUUUAUUUAUACUCAUUCUAUUCCAUUCACUUCAACCAAAUACAACAUAAAUUUUAUUAAAUAGGUGCAAUACCGUUGUAAGUCCUUGGAGUAGUGUUCACAGGAAAUUCAGGAAAUCGGUUUGAACUGGAAACGGGAUAAUAUCGAUUCUCAUAUCCUCAAUUAGAUUAAAAAUAUAUAAAAAGGACACAUUAUCAAACUUAUAUUAUACAACGUAGUAUACAUAUCCAUGUUGAGUGAAACAAAUAUCGAAUCUGCUACUAAACUAAAGAAUCUAAAUAAUCGGAUUGGGAAAGAUUAUAUUCAAAUAAAAUUUUGAGAAUAAAGUCAAGUAAUUUUGGGUGCCCCAAUAUUUUUCUCUAGACUUAAUCAUACUCCUUUCUAUUGGAAGUAAAAGAAAUAGAUCGGUUAACACGACAAGGAAAUCUUGUUAUAAAUAGGAUUAAUAAUAUUCUUAUCGAGUUCAAGUUUGUUUUGAUUGCUGAAUUAGCAUGUAAAUAUAAUCAUAAUACGCAUGUAAAAAAAACAGAAAAAGAGAGACGCAACUUUUCUUUUUUACAUCCUAAAAUAAGCCUAAUAAAAAAUAAAACUUAUUUUGGAAGAGUCAUGUAAUGAAAUUGAUUUAUUUUUUGAUUCUAUUAGUGUCAGAGUCUCAGAGAAGCUUUACCCCCUCAAAAAUCAAACUAAGAGCAAGUCCAAGAUGCCUCAUAUAAUGUCCUAAGUCAUUAUUUAGGGCAUUUGGCAAAAAAUUUCACUCCAACAAUGUCCUAGUGAUGCCUUAUAUCACUAGGACAAGCUCUUCAAGCCUUAUUUUUGAGGCACAUCUUUGCUUGCCCUAUCCUAGAUUAUAUAGUAAAAUAUUACUAACACUCUCUUUCUCUCUCUUCCUUAUAUUGUCUUUUAAUGAUGAAAGAAAACUUUUAAUAAUAAAAUAUUAAAUAUGUAAUGAGAAUAAGGCACAUUGUUGGAGUUGAAGUUACUUAAGUCCUAAAUCAUUAGGACAUAAUUUUUUAUAUUAUAUUUAAGGCCUCAACUAAGACACUCUUGGACUUGCUCCAAUGCCCCCACCAAUCACAUUUGCUCAGGAUUCCAAGUUGCCAUUUGACAAAAUGUUCCUCAGACCAGGACAAAUCUGAUUGCAUGAGACUAAUUUACAAAACCCAGCACACCUAAAAUUCUGGUGUUAAUGUCCAAAACAAACAUACUUGCAGAGUAACCAAAUAUGCUAACCCAACUAGCUAAUUUGUUGUCCUAAAAAUAGGAGUACAUUUUAAAAACUAGGGCCCUGUCCUGCUGACCCCAUAAGAAAGAUAGUUGAAAACAAAGAGGGUGUGUGCAUAUUUUCAUAAUUCAUCAAUCCAACCAGCCCAAAUACAACAAGAGUAACAGACAAUAUCAUGGCCACAAUCCUCAAGAUAUGCAAAAUAUACAUAACCCCCCUCGGCCCCUCCUCACCCCGAUCAAUUAAUCAAUACACGCUUUUCUGCUCUCUGUUUUUUAUCUAUAUACAUAAAAAAAGAUAUCGCAUGACUGUGGCAACCGUGAUCACUGGGCAAAAUGCAAUUUAAAGUGUCUAAACAGAGUUUAUUCCAUGACGGUAUGAUCGGCGGUUGUGAUGUCUUUUACCAUGCCCGCGGUGGCUUGUACCAAAUGUUACCGGGUCGAAUCCUCUAAGUCUCUCGGACUCAAGUGGAUCGAUUACACACUCAGAAGGUGGAACCUGGUAUCGAGUUGUAUCAUAACAAUAGGAGUACUGCAUGUAUUUUUUCCUCAGGUUCUGCAUUUUAGUUCUACUUUCUUUUGUUGUACCUGUAGGAACAGAUUGAGACUUGGGCGCAGUAUCACAUGAGGUCGACAUCUCGAUGGGAUCAACGGCACAACCGUGAAGCACGAAAUCGGAGAACUCGGCAAUGUAAGGGGAAUAUUUAUAAUUGACCUUGUAUUUACCUCCAUUUGUAGCCCAAUUAGAUCCAUCCCAAAUAGUAGCAUACAAGCUCAUUGGCUUGGAAGGGAAGUCCCCACCCAUUGCUUCUGUCUUCUUGACCUCUCUUAUAGGAACAUUGUCUAUGUAAAAGCUGUAAAGCAAGAUAAAAACAUCCAUAAACAAACAAGAAAAAACCAAUGCUCUUAUCAUGAAACAAAAACUCGAAAACUUGUGAUCAAUCCCUGUUCAAAAGUUUAAUUAUUGAACAAGGGUAAGAAACAAGGGCAAGUGGAGGUAAGUGACAAUACAUGAUUCAUGCAAAGGAAUCUCUCAGCUCAAUUUUCUUGCAGUUGCACAACAUGUCAUGAAAAAACAAAAAACCUACUAACAGUAACCUAAACAGAGAAAUCCAAUUACCAAAAAAAGAAAAGAAAAAAGAAUAAAUUAUCUGUGAAGACGCAUCGCAAUCCCUUACUCUCCGGGACAAGAUCAUAGGUUAAAAUCCCCAAUCCCCUCCCUUUGUCCUUAAAAAACUUAUGUAAUAUACUUAAAAAGCAAUUGUAAUGGCUUAAGCUCAUAUAAAUCUAUAGAAGUAACAUAUAAAAUUACAUACAUUAUUUCUUAAAUCAACUGACGCCAUUUUAAAAUAAUUUACAAAAUAAUAUUAAUUCAUGUUUCUAGAAUGUAAAAAUUUCAAAGAAUUCAUAAUUGAAAGGCUGAGUAGUAUAUCAACACUGUUUAGGUUCAUAACAAGGACAGCAAGCUUGAAUGCUACAAUAGAAAUUCUAAAUUUAUUUUUUCCCAAAAAUCUGCAAUAACAUAGCAAAACGAAUAAACAAUUCAAUAUACCCCACAAAUACUCUGCAGAUAUCAUUUUUUUACAUUCAAUAACUUUUUAGUGUGUGUGGGCAGAGAGAUUGGGAGUUAGCUCUAGACAUGUCCUAGCACCAGGAGCACCUUCACUUGUCAAAUGAUAAUUGCCAACAAAAUGAUAAAUGCAACAAAAUUAUAAAAAAGUUAAUAAAAACAGAAUCUGUAAAUAGAUUAUUCUCAGAAGGUUUCAGUUUCUUACAUAAUUCUAUCUUUGCUCCACAAUAUACUGUACUGAUGAAAAUCAUCAGAAGGGUCAAACCAGAGACCGUAUCUUUCUUCUCUGCCUGCACCUGUGCUUCCAUUUCCAUAAACAUUGGUCUGAAGUCUCCACUCUUUGCCUCUAAUAUUCCCCAAAAACUCAAAAUCAAUCUCAUCAUGGUUCUUUGCAAACAUGUCUACAUUCGACAUCUGUAAUCAUAUAAAAUAAGGAACAACAUGGAAAAUUGUAACUGACUGAAGCAAAAUAUGAAUGUCACGGACUAACGAUCUCUAAUUCUCUAUAAGCUAAUCUGAUUUGGUUUAUCUUUGUAUUGUAUAAUUUAAAAAAGUUUGAAUUUCUGGUCAAGUCUGUUAAGAUGAAAAUCUUCUUAAAAAUCGAUCAAGAUUAGAACUUUAUUAACACACAAAAUAUAUAGAGCUUUGUUGCAAAAGUUUUCAGAAAAUUUAUUAAAGCAGUGUGUAUGCAUUCAAAAAUUAAUAAACUUCAACUACAUGACCAGAAGUAAUUCAUCAGCAUAGGAUACAAUACACACACACACCAUAAAUAAGGCUCUUAUUGAACAAUUCAAACUGGAAUGGAGGUAUUACAUACAUCAAGAAUAAAGCAGCUUUAACAUAACGGCUCAAAUUUUUGGAAUACAUAAUAGAGCAAACAGUAAGAAUCACACAAACACACACACAAAUUGUGAUUCAGCUAAUGCUUAUAAAAACUUACAUAGAAUGCAACAACCACCCCAGCUGUGUAAUCUGCUGGUAACUUAAUUGAAGCACUAAAGAAUCCAUGUUUAUAGAGGUCAUGAGAUACAAAUCCAGAGCCUGCAAAUUCAUACCCCCCAAGAUAUAUAAGGAAAAAAAAAAAGGACAAUCUUUAAGCUACAACAACAAAGACAAGAACUUUAAAGUAAAGACCUGUUCUUUCAUCAAGAGAAAGGUGAGCUGAUUUUCCAUCUUGAAGAAUCAUGAGAUUACUAUCACCAAAGAGCUGUGAGUACCCUUCUUCAAAUGAAACAAUUGGAAGAUUUCUUGAUGACCCAUGAGCCAAAACAACAACAGAACACAUUACAAACAAAUUCACAUACAAGUUCACCAUUUUUUCAGCUAUGUUUCUGCUCAGUCUCUCCCUCUUUUUAUGGAUUUUCAAGAAUUCGGAAGAAGUCACAAUCUCUCCAGAGAGAGAGAGAGAGUUUAUUGGGAUUUGGAGCUUGAGAGAAGAGUGUGAUAACUGAUAAGCUCUGAGCUGUUCACAACUUGGUGACACUUUUGGAAAAUAUUGUAGUCACUGCUACUCCCUCUGUCCCAGUCAAUUGUAUACGUUUCUUUUUCACUGCUCGACACGCUUUUUAAGGCACUUAUAAAACAUAGUUCUACAACUUAUUUUUAAGAUUUUCUUUUUUUGUAUAAAAUUAUAAAUGUUAUACUUUUAUACAGAAAAAGAAAAAUUUAAAAAUAAUCUACAGAACUAUACUAUAUUGAAGCAUUAAAGUCCGUGCCGCGCCCCCGUCCCCCAAUGUAUACUAUUGACUGGGACGGAGGGAGUAGUUGUAUAAGCUAAACUUGCAUUUUGGGGGGCUAUAGCCUAUAAUCACUUAUUUAAUUUUCUGAUUAGUUAAUUGUUGUGCAUUGUGGUCAUGCAUUAGUGGUGGUUACUUGUCAUGUCAUUUUAGCGGUUCGUUCUUGAAAGUUUAGGCUCCUAGAAGUCCUAAUCAACAACUCCAUUUUGGCUUAACUCCCACUUUCAUUGUUGAUGUGUCGGACAAAUUUGCUUAAUUUAUGGGCUAAAUAGAACUAAAAUAUGCAAGUCAUUAAACAAUUAUCUUCCACGAUUAUUAGGGGCAGAACCUUUAUCUUAAUAUUGACUGAACGAAAAAUUUUAAACUAGAAAAUGGGGUCGCGGAGCAUAUGUUUUGGGGCGAUAAAAUUGAGAAAUUAUUGUUUCAAAUAUAUUACUAAAAAUUAAAAUAAGUGUAAAAUUAUUAUUUAAAUUUUUUUUAUUCUUACAAACUGUUUUUACUCGAAUCGUUGUCUUGACUAAGUGAUAGUAUUUCUCUUUAACCUCUCAACUUAUGUGUAAAAAAUUGAUGAUUAAAAAGAGAUAGAAAAAAGUUUAAAGAAAGUAAAAUAGGGCCGGAACACUUUCGGGUAUAAACAAUUUUGCACACAUAAUUUAAUCUGAAAGAAAACUGUGAAGUGUUCAAAGAAUUAUGCAGGCACAAAGUGCGCAUGUAAAGGUUUGUUAACUAGAGUAGUAUUUUCAUGCUCACAGAGCUUACUGCCACCAGCAAACUAAUCCUUUUCUUUUAUGAUUCCACCAAACUAAUGUUUGGUCCAAAAAUAUACUCCCUCCGUCCCUCUCAAUUCUUAAUAUUGAGGGACGGGGCGUGUCACGCACUUUAAAUUCUUUAAUGCGUCUAAAAAACAUAAUUUUAUAAACUUUUUUAAAAAAUUUCUUUUUCUGAUUAAAAAAAAGUUAUUGAACUAUGUUUUAUAAGCGCAUUAAAGUACAUGUCAAGCAGUGAGGAAGAAAUGUUAAGAAAUGAAAGGGAUAGAGAGAGUAUACGAUUUUUAUCAAUAAAAUAUAUUAAUAAGAAACAUAUUUUUUUUGAAAUUAAUCCGUAUUUUGGGAAAAACUUCGGAAGAUUUCCGUCCAUAAUGCCCAUUGAUGAGCCUUGUUUUGAGGUAGGUGAUCACAUGAGUGCUAUGAUUUGACUUCUUUUGAAUCAAAAGUUUGGAUGAGAAAUAAAGUGGCCAAGAUUAUCACAGACGAAAUUGAUGAUAACAAUUACAAAAAGAAAUUACAGGCAAGAAAAGCUAGCACAAAGGCUUUAAAAAUAGUCCACAAUAUAAUACUACUACUAGUGCAAAUCAUGGUCCAUGGAUAAUUGGAUAUUCGUAAUUAAUUUUGGGCAAAAGGGACACGGGUGGCAAUCCAGAGGGAGGCGGCGACUUGAGUACAUUCUUCCCAAAAUGCCCUCGAACAUUCCCCGAAUUACUGAUUCUGCCCUCUCAAACUGUACGUUAGUGGUGGCCAGAUAAUACGUGUAAGAAUUUGGACAUUUCUUUAAGAUUUUUUCUUUUUUUGAUAUGCUCCAGAUAACAUUUACUAAUUCAAUUUAGGUGGGCGCUCCUCAGACAUGUAUCGCGUGGGCCUGCGCCUUGCACUUCAAUUGAAUUGAAUUUUUUCUUAUAAAGUCGAGAUUUUAAAUACUUGUUCUGGCCAAAUAUACGCGGUUUAUUUUGGUUCACCUGAUUUGCAGGCUACCACGUGAGCUCGUGGGUUUACCGGUGCGCAUCCAAAGGGUAGCGACUGCGGAUCCCUACGUUAAGGGGAAAAAAAUUCAUCAAAUAUACUCCAUCCGUUUCAAAUUACAUGUCCACUUUCAAAAAAUCACAUAAUUUAAGAAAAGUGGAUUUUGAGAAAAAAAAAGAUGUAUUAAGUUAUUAAUUGAACCUAAUAUGUGGUAUAUGGUUGAUCGUGAAAAUAUAAAUUUGAAAUAGGUAAAAGAAAGUUGAUUUUGGAAAUUUAAAUUUACAUUGAAAGUUGAAGUGUACAAGUAUUUUAAAACAAUUUUUUUUUAAAAGUGGAUAUGUAUUUUGAAACGGAGAGAGUACUGUUUAGAUAUUUUAUUUAGAAUGUUUUUAUUAUUCAUGCUUAUAAAUAAAUUCUAUCAUAUAUUGUUUAGGCAUUUUAAUUAUCCCUUUGCCUCUCGGUUUAGCAAAGGCCUCCACAUCAGCUCGACUAGCCGUUGUGUACGCAUUUUAUUGUACAAUGAUGGAGGAGAGUGUGACACGGCCAAAUUGAAGGAGCUUUACUGCAAAAUUAGCAGCGUCUGUCACGGCUGAAUAGAUGACUUGGGAAUAUUAUUUUUUUAUUAUCCUCACAGAUUCACACGGUCGCUUAAUAAUUCUCCGACGCCCUACAGCCACAGAGAAGAUGGUCCAAACUCCUACUCAAUGUUCAUGAUAAUCUUUUGCGAAUUUUUAUCGUUCAAAAUUUUAAAAUAUUUAGGUUGUUUUCACUUGGAAAAAAUGGAUUGAGGAGAAUAAAUUUCUCAUUAUGAAUAUUGUAUGAAAACAUGAUUGGACAAAUAAAAUGAGUACAGUAUAUCUUUCAAAACAUGUGAGUUAGAUUUCUUAUUUUAAAUAAUUGAAAUGGAAUCGUUAAAAGAAUGAAAAUUAUAAACAUUUCUCUAAUCACCCAUAAUUUGGAGUACAAAUUUCAUUUCAAAAAUUUGUACAUUAUAUCGAAAACCCACCACAUCGGAAAAAUAUACAUCAUAAGCAGUGGCGGAUGUAGUGGUGCAUGGUGUGUCACGUGACACACCAUUAUUUAAAAAAAAAAAGAAUUUUUCUUUUUUUGCCGGCUUAUACAAAAGAUGGUGUCUCAUUUGUUGUAUUUUGCUGAUGAAUAAAAUAAGUUUAUUAUACUUUAUAUGUUUGUGAAAUUGUCAAAGAGAGAUUAUUCUUUUAUUUUGAGUGGCCUAUUACUCCCUCCGUCCUAUUCAUUUGUAUACAAUUUUUUUUGGGACGUCUNAAUUUCAUUUCAAAAAUUUGUACAUUAUAUCGAAAACCCACCACAUCCAUUUCAAAAAUUUGUACAUCUAUUUUAAAUAAUUUANGACACACCAUUAUUUAAAAAAAAAAAGAAUUUUUCUUUUUUUGCCGGCUUAUACAAAAGAUGGUGUCUCAUUUGUUGUAUUUUGCUGAUGAAUAAAAUAAGUUUAUUAUACUUUAUAUGUUUGUGAAAUUGUCAAAGAGAGAUUAUUCUUUUAUUUUGAGUGGCCUAUUACUCCCUCCGUCCUAUUCAUUUGUAUACAAUUUUUUUUGGGACGUCUCACCAAUUGUAUACAUUCCAAAAGUAGUAAAUUUUUAUAAUAUAAAAUACCAUUACACAAACUAUUUUUUCCGCUAUCUCCAUUAUAUAAUAAUAUAAACACUAUUACUUCCACUACUUUCCUUCAUUAUCUCAAAUCUAUUAUUAAAUAUAAAUGGGUCCCACCACUAUGCCCACUUUUCAUUUAACUUUACUCAUUUUUUACACUUUUUCAUCGUGUCGUGUCCCAUUUUUUACACCUUUUUCAUGGUCUUCACGCAAAAGGUUAAUAAUACAUUUUUAAUGUCUUGACUAUUAAUGGGUGACGCACCAUUUAUAAAAUUAUGUAUCCGCCACUGAUCAUAAGUCAUAACACGUAUAUAUUUAAUUGGUAAUUUUUCUAAUAUUAAUAUAAUAUACAAGACCGUAUGCAUAUAUAUACAUCCACAAAUUAAUACUCCAAUUGCAGCAGGAAUGUCUAAAACAACCAUUUUCCUCUUAUCCUCUUCAUCGGAAUCAUUUAAAAUUGUUAGGUUGUGUUUAGUUGGAUUGAAUGAAAUGGAGGGAGAAUGAAAUAAAUUUUAUACUCUAAGAUGAUGAUGUUGAUAAAAAAAUGUAUAUAAUUUUUAUUCGUUCGAUCAUUCCAUUCCAACUAUUUUAACUAUAAUUCUAACCUAUAUAUUUUGGAAGGAACGCUUAUUCCAUUUCUAUAUCAUAUUUCCUUACAAUUUUUCUCACAAGAAAUUUAAAUAUAUUCAUAUUUUGUCACUAUCAUCUCAUACUUUCUUCUUUUUCUUUAAAUUUGUAUAUAAUUUUUUAUUUUAUUCUCCCCUCGUUCCACCCCAGCAAACAUUGUCCGAGUUGUCACUGCUAGAUUCAGAAGCUAGUGUUAUGGAUUUGGGCCCUGAACUGCUUUGUUGGGACUGAGGCCCAAGUUUGGUUUUCUACAAACUUAUACUAUCCUACCCUAUUGGCCUUAUAAAGACAUGGAUUCAAACGUCUGAAAAUUAAUAUAUUUUCUCACAAAUUCAUAUUAAUUCUUUACAUAACUUAUCACACCAAUCAAGUUUAAUAUAAUCAUUCUAUCUCUAAAGUCAUAUAAACUCUACCUGUAUAUAUUUCAACCUCAAUCGUAUUCUACUUCUCAGCAUGUGUGUAUCAUAUACUUGAAUAUCAUACUCUCUUUCUCCUUUAUAAUUUUUAGCAGUUAAAAAAAGUGGAUCAAAUAGUCUGUCAUUCUCACGCUUAUAUAAAAUGUGGAAUAUUGCAGGCUCAGAUAACAAGAUCCUUUGAUCCUAAUUCCUAACUAGUGUUAAUAUGUUUCACCGAACUGAAAUUGACAAAAAAUAAAUAUUUAAGCAAGGGUGAAAACAAUCAUCAAGUGAUGCCAAAUUGAGCAUAUAAAAGGCCUCCACUUGCAAAAGAGAAGUUUAUAAUUGGCCCCUGUGCAUUUGCAAAAUCCAACUUCUGCACAAAACUCCCUGACAUCAGGUCUUUAUACUAGUUAUAAUUUACUCUGUAGAUGAGAAAUCGAAAUCUAAAUUAAUCGAUUAAUCUACUUAACCUACUGAUUUAAUAUUUUUUUAAAAUUUAUUAAAUUUUUCUCGAUACGUCAGAAAAUUAUAAUCAAAUCAGAAUGUAAUCGAUAAAUCGGCAACAUAUUUAUACACGUCUGAAAGCCUAAUUCACAAGAGUUGAUAAUUUGAUAAGAGCUAUAAAAUGAAUACAAUGAGGAUUAUGAUUUUUUUUGCAUUUUGUAUGAGAAAAUAUCUGCAAAUGGGGUUUCUAAAUUAAUAAUAAAAAGAUUAUUUGGCUUUUGAGGAUUAUACAUCAUUAGCACUUGCAUGCUUCCAACUUGCGUUUUACUAUUGUUUUAGCAAGAAAUUUAACCCUUUCUUUCCUGAACUCCAACUACAGUGCUGAAAUCAGUAAAAACAUUUCAUGAUAUAAAGCAUUCCCACAUCUUUUACAACACUGAAAUAGUACAAAUUAUAACCAAAAUCAGAUCAAAAGUAAAAUUCUAAAGUUCACACUCAUCUCCAAACUUUGUCUAGGAGUCACUGUACACAGAGAACAUAGGGUCAGGAGAUAUUCAUAUUGAGUGUAGCUAAUGAAAAGAAAAAAACACCUCAAGAAGGUGUCGAUGACGGUUUAAAGUUUCAAAGUGAGAUCAGGUUGAGAGGAUUCUGGUUGAGGCGGUGGGCGCUGUGGAGCCAUGGACACAAAGUUCGAAGUUUGUCCCAAGUCAAAACCAGAUGACACAUUAGCGAUGCUUCUCUGUUCAAUUUGUCGAAAGCUACCUGGCCAAAACAUUUCAGCUUCAUCUUCCUCUACAAACAUUGGCAAUCCACAGAAUCCUUGGUCAAAUUUUGCUCCACCCCUGGCCACAUGAAAAGGAGGCCUCACCUGUGGUCCAACUCCAUGAUGCAUGGAGGCAUGUGCUUCGAUUCCUAAAGACCUAAACGCAGAACCAUGCAGUGGAAGAGAUGCCAAGCUUGCAUACCUAUCCGAUAACAUUCCCAUCCGCAUUGCCCUCUUUGCUAUUGUCCUCUCUCUUUUGUGUGCAUUUUGAUGUCCCCCUAGGGCCUGCGAACUGUAAAACUUCCGCCUGCAAUAGUUGCAAGAGAAAACUCUAGGCAUUGUUCCUGGUGGCAAAUGGGGAGGAUUUUCCUCAGUGUUAUGAUCAUGCAUAUGUGUAUCCUUUGUUUCAUCCACAUUAGAAGAAGUGAAACCAAGAGUUAGGUCAAGAGUAUUGAUUCUUGGACCAGUUUGAAGCUGUAUGGAAUUUGUGAGGCUGGAGGAAGUUGUGGUGCUGUGAUUGGACCCAGGGGAUUUAUCUUGGAUGGAUACGUUUGAAGCUACAUGGCUGCUGACUUCAGAUUCGUCUUCAGAUUCAAAAGUCUUAUUUGGUGGCUGCAUCAUGGCAAGAGAAGCGAUAUUGGAUGCUUUGAGUCUGUUCCACGCUAAAAAGACCACGAGGAUAAUCGAUCAAAAUGAUUGUAGUGGUUACCCAGAAUACUGUGCCUGCACCUAUUCACAACUUAUUAUUAUUAGACGUAGGGAGCCAACUACCUUUUCAAAUGAAAUAAACAACCUACCUGAACAACAUUGCAGUGAUAUCAAGACACCUUAACCAUGCAAUUAAUACAAAUUUACUGCAUAAAAGUUACCAUUUCUCUAUUUCUCAACCCGAGCUGUAAUUUAAAAUAAUUAGUAAUGACGACUUAUCAUUUUUCAAACAAACGUCAUCUAAGAACUGUUUAUAUGCAAAGAUCAGAUGGCCUGAAUGUAACAUUACUUAACCAUUUUUGUAUAAAUAAACAAGCAUAUGCAAAGAUCAGAUGGCCUAAAUGUAACAUUACUUAACCUUUUUUGUAUAAAGAAACAAGCAUGCGGGUGACAUUGUUUCCCGAGUCUCAGCACUUACAUUUAUGUAAUAAUAAAUCAAACCAGAGAAAAAGAGAGAAAAUAAUUAAAUUCACCAGAUGUGGUUUAUAAAGUAUCUGAACCAAUAAUAUCCUAUGGGGAAAAUGGCAUCUUACACCAAACUUUAUAUUUACUUAACAGUUGGCUUCAAAUUAUUAGACAGUCUAAAAAGAAAUCUGGUGUUCCAGCCAUUAGUAGGCAAAGUGUCUCUUGCGCAUGCCUUCAUCUUGUUCUUCUGCAAAGGUAAAAGCAAGGCCGUUCUCAGGAAUUUUUUCUGAUUUGCGAGUAUGAACUUGAAAGAAUAUCUUCAACAGUGACCCCUAAGGAGGUCACGAUAGCAUUGCUGUUGAAGAGAUGGAAAACAUGAAAGAGAUUUCUUGUUUAUAUUUGGGUUAGGCUAGAUGCAUCUUACGGUGGUCCAGGCCUCCAUGGUAACCAGGUGAUUCGUCUUGCACAACGAAACCAGGUUAUCAAAAACAUGUGGGAAGUCUCCUGGGAAAACCAAAAGGAGAUGUACCAAAUUGCGUAACAAUUUGUGUGAUAAUUUGUUCAUUGCAGGCUACAAAUAGUUUUAUGCAAUCAUAGUCGACAGAAUCAGGGUUAGUAGACUCAGUACCAUCAACUGAAUAGAUGAGAAGGGGGAAGCACAUAUAAUCAUGGAGUAAGUGGUACCAAGUAACAAUGUUCACUAUCGGUAAAACAUUGGCCACUGAAGUAAUUUGUGAUAAGGAAGUAAGAGUACAGAUCAGACUUCAGAGCAUUUCAAAAUAGUCCAUACCUAGAAUUAAAAUCAGCAGGGUAUGGCUUAGUAAAAGGUGCUAGAAUAUAUAUCAAUACUUAUCUUCGGGGACAUUUGAGAAUUUAUAAUAAGAGCACCGUUUUCGGGUGCAGCAUCCAGAGUUUCAAUCAUGAACAAUUAAGAAAAAAAAUAAAGGUUUUUAUGGCCAAUAAAAAGCCAGGGAUUUCUUUUCGGACUUUUCAAGGGAUUCACUCUUGUCAAUAAUUUCUUGGCUAUAUCAAUUUCACCAUGUGUUUCAGACUAUUCUUGGAUUUACCUCUCAUCAAUGAUUCUUGGCUAUAUCGAUUUCAGCUGGGGCUAUAGCCAGCUUGCUCUCACUGACUAAUCUCCUACAAAAUAAAGAUCUGAUCCUAAUUGUAUGCAGAUACAAUUGUUUUUGGGCAUAUAACAUACCAACAUUGGCGAAAUUUGAGGAGGUAGCAUAAUAUUUUGAAAUGUUUAGAUUAUCAAACAUAAACAUCCAAAUGACUAAUAAACAUGUAGAGAAAGCCCCUCGACCUUCGAUUCCACCACAACAUCUUUUCAAUCCCCUCCAGACUUUCAAAAAUUCUCAUACAUGGAAAACAACAUAGUUGGCGGCAUAGAUCGGACUCUAGGUUUUCAGAAUUAAGAACUAAUGGAGGUCAAUAAUUAAAUGGUAAAGACCUUAAUAAAUAAGGGAUUUGAGACCAGUCCAAAUAAGAGUUUCAUGUUUAGUGUCAAGUAUAAUAGUCUUCCUGCAGCAACACAAAUAUUCAUUCAUACACACUGCAAUUUUCAUCUUUUGCACAACUUAUUUUCAUCAUAAAGCUAGUAGGAGAUUCAAUUGGUAUCCAGGUUUCACUAACAGAGACCUAGUUUGCAGAACUUCAAAACACAAAAUUAAACCACAAGUCCAUCAAAACCAGAAUCAGUCCUCUAAUCAAACUUAAAAACAACCUUUACCUCAAAAUUAUCCAAUAAAAUAGAAAACCCUUUAAAAUAUUUCCAAAUAAAAACUAAAAUUCACACCAACAUAUCACUUAAGCACAAGUAAUAACAAAUAAUUAUGCAAUCAAUCAAGAAACAUGGCAAAAAAAGAGAAAGAUUAAAGAUUCAUACUGUGUGGGUAGAAGUUCCUGGUUAAUUCAGGCUUGUAUGCU
rnacentral:lncRNA from 1 species